UUAAAAAGAACAAAAAAUUUUCUUUUUUUUCUAAAUCGUUUUUUGUUGAUUUGGUUUAAUUUUUUAAUCACAAAUUAUCUUAUCAUCUUAUUAUUUUAACUAUUUUUAUUUAAUUAUUGUGAUAAUUAACUCGUUUACUCAUUCAGGUAUUUAUAGAAAUAUAGAAAUGGUUGUUUGUGUUUGAUGAUCUUUCGUAUCUCUUGAAAUGAUAUUUGGUUUAGGCCUAAGGUGAACAGGCGAUUGAUUGGUUUUUACCUGUGGAUUAUAAUUUGUUUAAUUGUAAUUUAAUUGCAUAUUGACUUUCGUUUAUGGGAGGUAUUGAUUCACUUUGAUAAUGAUUCUGCAGUUAAUCGUUAAUGGCACCUUAAUAAAUUUCCUGGUUAGAGGCAAACGUUUCAAUGGAGAAAGAACAAAUAAUUAACAGAACAUGUUAAAAAGUGGUAUCAUCGAUGUUUUGGUCGAUCGUUUAUUUAAUUACAUCAGAGUAUAGAUGGUGAUAGAAGGUAAAAAGUUUACAGUUUAGCAGUCGAAGUGUUCAAAAUACACUUGGUCGAGAUGGUGAACAUUAGAGUACUAGAGUAUAUUGGUUUACAAAAACAAAGGAAGAUUAGGAAUCCAUUACCUGAAGAAAACCCGGAGAGCAAUUAAAUAGGGAUGGAUUAGAAUACAAAUGAAGUCCAAUGACCGAAAAAGGGAACAAAUUGAUUAUCACAAUUGGACAAUUAAUUCUUCCCUUCGAGGCCAAUGCUUUCCUCCUGAUUAGUUACUCACUUUGAUCAACAAUCAUAUGUCCAUUAAUUUUUCAUCGACAAAUUGUUGUCAACAGUUACCUAAGACUUUCCUACUUGAUUAUAGUUUAAAUUAAGCAUGAAAAUGUUGGA